rnacentral:rRNA from 1 species
AUUGAACGCUGGCGGCAAGCCUAACACAUGCAAGUCGAACGAGUGGCGGACGGGUGUGUUAUGUCUGUGACACUGCCUGCUGGAGGGGGAUCCCUUCUGGAAACGGUAGCUAAUCCCGCAUACCAUCGGGUUUGCCCAGAUGGGAUUAGCUAGUAGGUGGGGUAAAGGCUCACCUAGGCGACGACCCCUAGCUGGUCUGAGAGGAUUACCAGCCACACUGGAACUGAGACACGGUCCAGACUCCUACGGGAGGCAGCAGUGGGGAAUAGUGCACAAUGGGCGAAAGCCUGAUGCAGCCAUGCCGCGUGUAUGAAGAAGGCCUUCGGGUUGUAAAGUACUUUCAGCGGGGAGGCGUUACCCGCAGAAGAAGCACCGGCUAACUCCGUGCCAGCAGCCGCGGUAAUUC